GCAGUGGUGGGUCAGUGGUAGAACUCCAGACUUCCAGGUGGGAGACCUAGGUUCAAUUCCCAGUCAGUGCA
rnacentral:tRNA from 1 species